UUUAAACUCCACUUGCACAGACAUUAAAGUAUCGAUCUAUUUAAAGAUACACAAUAUUUGUUAAGAUAAACGAUUGUAAAUAUGUAUUCUAAAAUAAUAAACGCUCUAAUCGUACCAAGGUCAACAUAAUGGACACUUCUACCGAGUUAAGGGAUAUAUAUACAAGGCAGCCUUUAGAAGAUUUAUUGCAGGAUGAUAGGGUAUUUCAUCUGUUGAUUGUGUCAACAAUAGGUGCAUGUUUGAUCAACUUGUUCAACAUUUAUGUGCCAUUGAUAGUACUAAAUUACGCUAUCUAUGUAAUGCUAAUUGCAUUUGGAUAUAAAAUUGGUUACGCAAUAUCCCAAUGUAAGAUCAAACAACACUCUGCUGAAAUAGAGGCCAGCUACAGUAAAAUAAAGGAAAUCCGCCGGUGCUUAGAUGAAACGACACGUGAGUAAAACUAUCGAAUUCAUUCGUCAUAACAAAAUCUGUAACAGAUCUCAAGCCUUUAAGAGGCAUGAUUAUCUCAUUGUUUUGAGUGUCAUCUUAUACUAUGCUUUUGUGCUGGUUCCAAUGGUACAGAUGGGAGAUGGGUUCUGGUUCAGUGCUAGUAGUAUUGUUUACAUUGUAUUAGAACUCUCAUUCAACAAUUAUAGUAUUGCUCAAUAUUCCCUUCAAUUAGUUAUUGGUAUCUCGCGAGGUAUUUUGCAACGAUUGUGUUUUAAAAUGUCGUGCUUAUUCGCACAACAACGUUGUUCUGAUAACGUGCUGCUGAUAAGAAAGGAUGUCUGAAAUCCAUUCUUUUUUAAUUUUCUAGUUCAAGCUGGAUAAUAUUAUAAACAAAUUACCAAUUAAUGGUAUGAUCGUGGGUAUAUAAACAAGUUUAUAAAGUUAAGAAAGAAUGAUUGAAAUAACUACCAAUAUUUUUUCUAUUUUUAUUUGAUGAUAGAUCAGUGGUGUGAAAUAUCAUUUUGUUUCAUACAAAUGAUGAAAAACUAUAAAGUAAAAACAAAUAUCACAUGGAUAAUCAUUGAAAGAAACAAAUAUUGGAUAAGUUGUAUUAUUGCCUCAUCUUGAAAAUCUGGUCGUGUUGCGAUAUUGGUCUAGUAUUUGCGUUUGGUUUUCAGAAUGGACUUAGAUGAUUUAGCUUUUCAUGCCAUGAAAUACAUGCAUGCCAAAAUUGAAGCUGUAGAACUAUGUUUUUAAUUGUGUGGUAAAUGGUUUUGCUUUCACAUAACUGAAUAAAAAACAAUGCAAAAAGGUUCAAUUCGGUUUCCAAUAAAAUGCAAAUUACUAGAAUCUAGACUGUAUCCUGAAACUAACAAUAGUUUUGUUGUGUGAAAAAAAUAGUAAAAAUGCCAGUAGUGUUUUUCAAAAUAAAUUGUUUUUCUCAUAUAUUGGUUUGUAUAUUUAUAUUAUUAAUGAAUGAAUGUUCUUAUAAUUUAUUACGAAUAAAGAAAAAAACACUGGAGAUGAAACAAAAACAACAUUUAUCAUAGAAAUAUGUCAAUUAACCAUGAUGUAUUUAAGGGUGUACAUGUAUGUCUAUAUAUACACUAUUAAUAGUAUAUUUUUUUUCAUUUCAGAUAACUGAUAUUCAUCUGGUCCCUUGAUAUCUUUGUGUGCUGAAUUUGAUUUAAAAAAACUCAAGGACAUCAUACUUACAUCUAACAAUGUUUAAAUAUUUAUAUAUCCAUUCCAUGCUUAAUAAUUCGUUACGAAAAAGACUCAUAUAUUCCUAGUUUUUUUUACGUUUACAG
rnacentral:lncRNA from 1 species